UAUAAAUCCAGUUUUAUGGAGGUUUAACAGGAGCAAUCUUUAUGAUUUUUUUGCUAUUUGAUUUGUAAAAAUACACUCAAAUAAACAAUAACUAAAUUCUGCAGCAUAUCACAGACAUUAUUUAAAUGAUUACAAAACAAACACUAUAACUUUGUUAUAAAUGGUAUGUAUCUUUAAAGAGUGUGCAUCAAAUACAAAAUCACAUCUUCCUUUAAUUAUUAGAAUCAUAUUGAUUUUAA